rnacentral:rRNA from 1 species
GUCGAGAAUCUUUCACAAUGGGGGCAACCCUGAUGGAGCGACGCCGCGUGGAGGAUAAGGUCUUCGGAUUGUAAACUCCUGUCAUGCGUGAACAAGGUUGCUUGGUUAAUACCUGGGCAAAUUGAUGGUAACGCAAGAGGAAGAGACGGCUAACUCUGUGUCAGCAGCCGCGGUAAUACAGAGGUCUCAAGCGUUGUUCGGAAUCACUGGGCGUAAAGGGUGCGUAGGUGGCGUGGUAAGUCAGAUGUGAAAGCCCGGGGCCCAACCUCGGAACUGCAUCCGAUACUGCCAUGCUAGAGUACUGGAGAGGUGACUAGAAUUCUCGGUGUAGCAGUGAAAUGCGUAGAUAUCGAGAGGAAUACCAAAGGCGUAGGCAGGUCACUGGACAGUUACUGACACUGAGGCACGAAGGCCAGGGGAGCGAACAGGAUUAGAUACCCUAGUAGUCC